rnacentral:rRNA from 1 species
UGUACGUAGGGGGCGUCAGGUGCGUGAAGUGGUAAGUUCCAGGUGUGAUCCGGAUAUAUGGGGCUUAAAGCGUGCGCAGACGGUUAGUUAAGUCUGAAGUGAAAGGCCGCAGGUCAACUGAGUAAUUGCUUUGGAAACUGGAGGACUGGAGUGAAGGAGAGGAAAGGGGAACUCCAUGUGUAGCGGUGAAAUGCGUAGAUAUAUGGAAGAACACCAGGGGCGAAGGCGGCUUUCUGGACUGUAACUGACGUUGAGGCUCGAAAGUGUGGGUAGCAAACAGGAUUAGAUACCCCUGUAGUC